rnacentral:lncRNA from 1 species
GAUAGUAUAUGCAUAAUAUAACUAAUAUAUAUACAAUUCUUGGUAGUUUAUACACAUCAAACUAGUAUUUAUACAAUUACUAUAUAUACAAUAAUUGUCCUCUUCAUUCUUAGGAUCCUCCUAUCGUGGAGCUCCUUGAUUCGGCUAUUAAAUGUCCAUUGUAAUGAAAUUCUCCAUGGGGAUUUAUCACCUCAUCCACCAGAAAUCCUAUGAGACCUUCUUGGACUGCCUGAAGCCUAUCCUUCUAAAAGAGUUCUCCAGCAAUCCUCC